GGAGGAACAAUGCUGUGAGUGAUGGGACACAAGAGAUGCGGCUGGCACAGUUCAUAACAUGCUGGGAGCUGAACAGACAUCAGCAGCAUUCACAGAGACAGCAAUUCUUACAGCCUUGCUGAACUUGGUCUUUUCAGAGUCCCAUGGAAGAUAAUGCAGCUGACAGCUCUUUAACAAUGAGAACAGGUGUCUGCAACAGCAUCAGAACCAAUUUCACUGCACACAAGCUAAGCUCACCUUGCUUAUGCUCAGCAUCAUUGAGUUUCCCCUCAUAAUCCCUUUUUCUAGGUUUGUAGGAAGGCACUCCACUCCACACAAAAGCUCAAAGGGGAGGACCACUCUCGAGUUGGAAAAAAAACACAAUCUGAAGAUGGUUGGCAUAGGCGAGCCCUGCACUGACAAGUCUUGUACAGGCCUUGCAUUUAAGUUACCUUGAUUCUGACAUGCCACCCAUGCUGCCUCUAUUUACAGCUUCCUUCCAUCUCUCCGGACUGAUGUGAUGCAGCAGGCUGUCCUCCAGGUCCCACCACUCCCCAAGUCCCCACCUGGCUCUGCCCAGCUCACCACCCCAGGAAUUACUGAAAGAACAGAAACACUGGAACUUCUGACCUCCCUAGAGAAAAUGAUGACCUUUGGUUCAUUUCUAUCAAUCACUCAGCAAUCUCAAGACACUUCAGAAAUAAGACAUGUAGCAACAGCCUGAUCCCACCAAACCAGAGCAAUGUGGGUAACUGAGCACACAGUCCCGUCAGACCUGCAGGUAAGACUGUGUAGUGGUGAGAGGUUGUUAGUGGGAUUUGGAUUUGAUUUCCCUCUUUAACAUCUCACACCCUCCCCACCGUACUGUGCUGAGAUGUUGUUCUUGGGGAUGGAUGUGGCAUACCUGACAGCAGAAGGCAGUUGUGAUUAAUACGCAAAAAUAGCCUUACAACUUGAGAAAGAAAAUGAGAGCAGGGUAAGUCAUAGCAAAGCGUCUCU